rnacentral:rRNA from 1 species
GAUGAACGCUGGCGGCGUGCCUAAUACAUGCGAGUCGAGCGAACGGACGAGAAGCUUGCUUCUCUGAUGUUAGCGGCGGACGGGUGAGUAACACGUGGAUAACCUACCUAUAAGACCGGGAUAACUUCGGGAAACCGGAGCUAAUACCGGAUAAUAUUUUGAACCGCAUGGUUCAAAAGUGAAAGACGGUCUUGCUGUCACUUAUAGACGGAUCCGCGCUGCAUUAGCUAGUUGGUAAGGUAACGGCUUACCAAGGCAACGAUGCAUAGCCGACCUGAGAGGGUGAUCGGCCACACUGGAACUGAGACACGGUCCAGACUCCUACGGGAGGCAGCAGUAGGGAAUCUUCCGCAAUGGGCGAAAGCCUGACGGAGCAACGCCGCGUGAGUGAUGAAGGUCUUCGGAUCGUAAAACUCUGUUAUUAGGGAAGAACAUAUGUGUAAGUAACUGUGCACAUCUUGACGGUACCUAAUCAGAAAGCCACGGCUAACUACGUG